rnacentral:lncRNA from 1 species
UCUGCAUCUAAUCUUGCUUUGUUUCUUGUAAUAUUCUCAUCCUCGUUAGUUUUUCUUUCAGUGAUUUGAGUGUAAUUUACUCUUAUAAUUUUAUGUGUCUAAAAUUACUACUCUUUUUUUGAAAGAAAAAAAAUUCAUUAAUGAGAAAGUUACCGAAUUUAAAAAUUCAACUGAUGAUAAUUAUGAUUGUUUUGGUACUGUUUGUAUCGACUGAAACGCUCUGUUCUAAUAACAAAGCAGAGUAAUAAAUUUUAGGUCCAUAUAAAUUUUGGAUGGUAUCAGCCGCAUCGGUGCAUACCAGUUGAUU